rnacentral:rRNA from 1 species
GUAGGGGCCAAGCGUUAUCCGGAUUUAUUGGGGCGUAAAGAGCUCGUAGGCGGCUUGGCAAGUCGGUCGUGAAAGUCCGAGGCUCAACCUCGGGAAUGCCGGGUCGAAACUGCCAUGGCUAGGGUUCGGUAGAGGAGAGUGGAAUUCUCGGUGUAGCGGUGAAAUGCGCAGAUAUCGAGAGGAACACCAGUAGCGAAGGCGGCUCUCUGGGCCGAUACCGACGCUGAGGAGCGAAAGCGUGGGGAGCAAACAGGAUUAGAUACCCUGGUAGUCCACGCCGUAAACGGUGAUCACUAGGUGUGGCGGACUCAUUGACGUCUGCUGUGCCGGCGCUAACGCAUUAAGUGAUCCGCCUGGGGAGUAUGGCCGCAAGGCUA